rnacentral:rRNA from 1 species
UGGGGAAUAUUGCACAAUGGGCGCAAGCCUGAUGCAGCCAUGCCGCGUGUAUGAAGAAGGCCUUCGGGUUGUAAAGUACUUUCAGUCGGGAGGAAGGUGUCAAGGUUAAUAACCUUGGCAAUUGACGUUACCGACAGAAGAAGCACCGGCUAACUCCGUGCCAGCAGCCGCGGUAAUACGGAGGGUGCAAGCGUUAAUCGGAAUUACUGGGCGUAAAGCGCACGCAGGCGGUUGAUUGAGUCAGAUGUGAAAUCCCCGGGCUUAACCCGGGAAUUGCAUCUGAUACUGGUCAGCUAGAGUCUUGUAGAGGGGGGUAGAAUUCCAUGUGUAGCGGUGAAAUGCGUAGAGAUGUGGAGGAAUACCGGUGGCGAAUGCGGCCCCCUGGACAAAGACUGACGCUCAGGUGCGAAAGCGUGGGGAGCAAUCAGG